rnacentral:lncRNA from 1 species
CUUCACAUCUCUGGACAUAAAUAUUCUGACUUGCAGCUGGGAAACUUCCUUCCAAAUUGUUCCGUUUGUCAGGUUCAAGUACAAAUUUUCAGCUAAAAACCUUCUCUCCUUGGCUCUUAAUGGGUGCUGGCCAACAAACAAAAAAGAGGAAAAGGGAGUGAAUUACAUGACCUGUCUCUUUUUGUUUAUUAAGAACUUCUUUCCAGCGUCUGAUUCUUACGGAAAUAUGGUUUCAAUUUUCUCUUUGAAUUGUGGAUCAAGAAAUGUUGCCAAUACAUAUUUUUCCCUGUCAAAAUUUCAUUUAAUCUGGAGUCUGUGGACGUCUUGAGAGCCACGUCUCCUCGCGGGGUUAUUACCGUGUGUGCCUGUUGUCAUGUUAGCUCUAAAUUGGAAUCACAUUUGUUCCGGAAAGCGGCGCUGGCUCCGCAGUGCAGCGCAGGGCCGUGGUUGGCAGCAGCGUUGCCCGUGCCCAUGGGACGCCCAGGCUGCGUGGCACAGCUCUGCGGGACGGGACCUGCAUGGCCACUUGGGCACCGGCAGCAGAGCAGUGGGGAGCAGAAGGGCACGUGGCUGUGACAUCGACCUGUGAUGCAGUGUGGGACAAGAGGUCAUCGGGCAACAGGCCCUUGGGGUGUGCUUGGGGACAGCUCGCGACAGCUCUUCAUGCGUCUGUCUCUGUGGAUGCGUGUCUUCAAAAGCUUGAUGGGCAGAACAUAAAGAGGAAGCUCAAUACAGCCACGACUCAGUUACACACUGGCCUCGUGUUUUUCGUUCAUGUUUUGUGCUUGAAACCAUCUGUGGUUACGCGGAGCUUCCAGAUGAGUGCCCGCAGUCAGGGCUGGGGCAGCGCUCUGCUUCCUGCGCCCGGCGUGGCCCCAUGUGGGCAGUGCAGCAGGGAUGGGUGGCGGUGCAGCCCAGCCUGGACGUGGCUGAUGC